UGGUGUGUGUGUGUGUGUAUACAUAUAUAUGUACUUUCCACCUCAAAAGCUUUGGUUGUCAAAACUCCUGAGUUUAUCUGUAGUUAUAACAAAUUUAAGCAAAUAAGUGUUAUCAGUGGGACUGCUAAAAUUCUGGUAGAAUAAUUAGAUUGCUACUUUAAAGGUUUUUUUUUUUUAAUGUACAAAGGAUAGAACUUUAAGUUUUUUUUAAUUUUCUUAUAUAAAGUAUAGCCUAAUAUUCCUGUGGUUAAAGUUAAUGAAAUGAAUAUUGAGUGAAAGAUCAAAGCUUAUUGGUAAAAAUUAUUUUGCCAGUGUUGUGCUUAAUGCCAGGACCAAAUCAUGGAGGAAUAUAUACUGACAGCCUGUUUUGUUUGUUGUCUUGUUCUUAGACUUGUUUACUUAGGGAAAGAAAAAUUUUAGCUUGUUGAUCCUUUCCUGAAUGGCUUAUUUAGUCCACUAGUUUUUCUCAGCUAACACUUAUAAUGAAAGCAAUGAUUAAGCAGAUUUCUGGGGUCUUUGUUAAUGGGUAAGAUAAAUGACUAAGUAUAAAGAUAGAUAGAUUUUGGAGUCUGUUGUUUGUCCCUUACUAUGAUUUAUUUCUACUUGAAAAAGACAUUUGCUAUUUGAAAAAUUAGAUGCUGCAGAUAAGUAUGUUAACUGUUCUUCCAUUAUCCUUGUGCCUAUUACUGGCUCACAUUUUCAAAAUAUAUUAGUGUAAUAUUAGCUAAAACAGUCUUCAUUUGUCAAUUACUGCUUUAUUACCACUGAAGUGACAUUGAAGAAAACCACAAGUCUCAUGGUUCAGUGGAAGAAGUGGAACAGAAUAGUACUUUGUGUGUGUUUGUGUGUAUAAAACAAACAAAAUCAACACUGGCAAGGAGGUGGUUGGAGGAGGUUCUGUGACUGCAAAUAUACUAAGAAAUCUUAACAGACUCUGGAAGGAUGUGUCCCCUUUAUGGUGCUCCUUCUACUCACUUACCCUAUAGAAGGGUUGAUAGUGACCUAAGGCCAUUAUUAAAUAAAGUAAUACUAUAGAGAAGACUUUGAGCAUGUGUGUAGUGGUGAGUAUACUUGGAUGUGCAAAUGGUUAGCUAGAUCUGUUGCUGGAGCUGGGUAGAGAUGUGCAGCAGGUAGUUGAGAAUAGCAGUUUUAGGCUUUGGGACAAAUCUGAGCUGACGCUCUGAAUUUGGGAGCUGCAUAAGGCAAUCAUGGAUCUUUAUGACUUUACUAGGGUAAAAAAUAUUAACAAUCAAGUGAGACAAAAAUAAACCCAGAUUGAGAAUUCUGUUAAAUUAGGUGCUUGCCCUCUAGAAAAGAAGCGGAUACAACUUACAUUUGCAAAAUAUUGUAUACAGAUCUGGAAACUUCAGAUUUUCUUGCAACCAAUCUACAACCUGAACCCUAUUUGUGGAUAGUAGUUGUAGCCUUAUAAUAAUGAAUAAAGGUGCUUAAGAGGGACCAUUGUAGGGAGUGAAAAGAGCCAGAGAGGAGUGGGGGUGAAAAUUACUGAAAUGAUUGCUAGGACUGACAGAAGGAAGUAUCGAGAAAUAAUGCUUUUGAAAUAAAGCUGCCUAACACUGAUAGCCAUUUUACAUAGAUAUAGAGUUUUGUUUCAGAAUUUACCUGUUUAUAUACAGAGAGCUUCAAAAGUACUUUCUAAAUUUUGUUUGAACACAUUCAGGAGAUUCUAUCAGCUAAGUCUCCUCUGUUGUUCUGAGUGUGAGGAAUUAUACUGUGCCCAAGAACGAAUCAUGUUAAACAUCCUCAUUUACUUUUAUGACAGUCUCUGAGAUAGGCGAUAUUAUUAAACCUAUUUUU
rnacentral:lncRNA from 1 species